GUGGGACCAAAGGCCAUUAUAAGAGCCCGACACAGAGAGAUCAGUUGUUAAUUCUUCAUUACACACAGUGAGCUGAGCGAAACUGGCAAUUGGUGUUACUGCUGGAUCACUAAAUACUGAAAAGCACCAGUGUAAAAUGGGGCACAUAAUUUCUGUGUUUGUCAGAGAGCUUCCAGCUUUGUAUCUAUUUGGAGGAAUAUUUUUGCCUGUUACUUUGCUUCUUAUAGGCCUCAUUUAUUACUUGAAGAUAAAGCUGGCUGAAGUGGACGAAGAACUGGCUAGGGCCCGCCAUCCAAGAGAUGUGCUGCAGGAUUACUACCUUAAGUUCGAACAGCUAAAUGCGUCAGGAAGGCAGCGCCUACGGAAGACUUAAUAAUGAUUUCCUGGAAGGAUUUCACAGAAAACAAACACAAGGGCAUCAAAGAUGAUGUGAUGCUGCUAACAAGCAAACUCGCAAGGGAAAUUCAAGGAGUGCUGCUUUUCACGGCUGUUGGAAAAAAAUAUUAUGCUUCCAAUUAGGACACAUUUCUAGAAGAAUCUGCAUUCACCUGAGACAUUAAAGCUGAAUCUGGACUGAAUCUUUCUUUUGGUGAUUUUCCCAAGGUUACCAGCAAAGCCUGUGAACUAGAGAGCAUCUUACACGAGAAAUCGUCUCACCUAGUUAUGCUGCUUGGAACUGAGGGCAAAGCACAGUUUUAUAAAUAAAAAUGUGGGUUAAAGCAAGCCCAAGUACAAAAUAUUGUUAUAAAAAAGCCUGUUUCCUUGGAGAACAUUAACUACUCUUAUAUUAAGUUAGAGGUCUAUUCCACUUUGUCACAAAGAAAAUGGUUAAUGCUUUAGAUGUCAUUUUGUUGCCAUUAUUUUUUGUUUUUUAAUGCUUUAAAUCUUCACAGCAAAAACAGGCCAAUUAGUCUCAUAAUGCACAUACCUAACUGAAUCUUAUCUCUUGCCCAUUCCCCAGACUUCAGAUUGAGGUUUUUUAUUAGGCAUCAUUAGGGAGAGAAUCAAAGGUCAGCCACUGCAGCAGCACAAAGUAAACAUAAUUAGUGGCUGUUACAACACAAUACA